AGACCCCUACGGGAGGCAGCAGUGGGGAAUUUUCCGCAAUGGGCGAAAGCCUGGCGGAGCAAUACCGCGUGAGGGAGGAAGGCUCUUGGGUUGUAAACCUCUUUUCUCAGGGGAGAAAAAAAUGACGGUACCUGAGGAAUAAGCAUCGGCUAACUCCGUGCCAGCAGCCGCGGUAAUACGGAGGAUGCAGGCGUUAUCCGGAAUGAUUGGGCGUAAAGGGUCCGCAGGUGGCAUUGUAUGUCUGCUGUUAAAGAGUCUGGCUCAACCAGAUCAAAGCAGUGGAAACUACAAAGCUAGAGUAUGGUCGGGGCAGAGGGAAUUCCUGGUGUAGCGGUGAAAUGCGUAGAUAUCAGGAAGAACACCGGUGGCGAAGGCGCUCUGCUAGGCCAAAACUGACACUGAGGGACGAAAGCUAGGGGAGCGAAUGGGAUUAGAUACCCCAGUAGUCCUAGCCGUAAACGAUGGAUACUAGGUGUAGCUCGUAUCGACCCGAGCUGUACCGUAGCUAACGCGUUAAGUAUCCCGCCUGGGGAGUACGCAGGCAACUGUGAAACUCAAAGGAAUUGACGGGGGCCCGCACAAGCGGUGGAGUAUGUGGUUUAAUUCGAUGCAACGCGAAGAACCUUACCAAGACUUGACAUGUCACGAAUUCCGUUGAAAGAUGGAAGUGCCUUAGGGAGCGUGAACACAGGUGGUGCAUGGCUGUCGUCAGCUCGUGUCGUGAGAUGUUGGGUUAAGUCCCGCAACGAGCGCAACCCUCGUUUUUAGUUGCCAGCAUUAAGUUGGGCACUCUAGAGAGACUGCCGGUGACAAACCGGAGGAAGGUGGGGAUGACGUCAAGUCAGCAUGCCCCUUACGUCUUGGGCUACACACGUACUACAAUGCUCCGGACAAAGGGCAGCUACACAGCGAUGUGAUGCGAAUCUCAUAAACCGGAGCUCAGUUCAGAUCGAAGGCUGCAACUCGCCUUCGUGAAGGAGGAAUCGCUAGUAAUUGCAGGUCAGCAUACUGCAGUGAAUUCGUUCCCGGGCCUUGUACACACCGCCCGUCACACCAUGGAAGUUGGUCACGCCCGAAGUCGUUACCCCAACCUUUUGGAGGGGGAUGCCUAAGGUAGGACUGAUGACUGGGGUGAAGUCGUAACAAGGUAGCCGUACCGGAAGGUGUGGCUG
rnacentral:rRNA from 1 species